GGGGGAAGACGGUCGCAGUCACAGGAACAACGGGAGUGGCUUCCUUGAAUAUAGGUGGGAUUACUGUCCAUUCCUGCUCCGGUAUAGCAGAUGGUCAUUUUUCAAAUGACAAACUAUUACAAAAAUUGACUAUUGAUGAAUAUUUUCAAAAAUACAAGGGGUUCUGCAAGUUUAGGAUUUUAAAAAUGUCAAUUUACCAUUCAAAUAAGGAUUGACAUAUGUUUUUGUUUUGUUUUCCCUACUCAAAAUGAUAUCAAAAUGUUAUUAGAAAUAUACAUACUAUGAACAAAUAGCAUUAUUAGCUAAAUACAUCUUUUCAUU
rnacentral:lncRNA from 1 species